UGUGAAGAAAAAGGAAUCGAAGCUCUAUGGAGCGCACUUUAAGGAAAUUACAGCAGACGCCCCCAAGUCCAAGAAGAUUACAUUCGAUGAUUCUGAUGAAGAAUAACACUGAUCGCCUAAAUUCUCCCAAAUUUUUCCAGGGCCUCAAGCAAAGUAAAAUUGCAAUUUUUUUUAAUAUUUAAAGUUUAGUAGGAAACAUGUAUUUUCUGUUUAAUUCAAUUUUGAUCUUGUGAGCGUCAUUAAUGUAUUGGUCAAUGAUGAUUG
rnacentral:misc_RNA from 1 species